rnacentral:tRNA from 1 species
GAGGGUAUAGCUCAAGUGGUAGGGCGCGUGCUUCGCGUGCACAAGGUCCUAGGUUUAAUCCCUAGUGCUUCCU